rnacentral:rRNA from 1 species
AACGAACGCUGGCGGCAGGCCUAACACAUGCAAGUCGAGCGCCCCGCAAGGGGAGCGGCGGACGGGUGAGUAACGCGUGGGAAUCUUCCCCGAGGUACGGAACAACUGAGGGAAACUUCAGCUAAUACCGUAUGAUGUCGAGAGACCAAAGAUUCAUCGCCUUGGGAUGAGCCCGCGUCAGAUUAGGUAGUUGGUGGGGUAACGGCCUACCAAGCCUGCGAUCUGUAGCUGGUCUGAGAGGACGAUCAGCCACACUGGGACUGAGACACGGCCCAGACUCCUACGGGAGGCAGCAGUGGGGAAUCUUGCGCAAUGGGCGAAAGCCUGACGCAGCCAUGCCGCGUGAGUGAAGAAGGUCUUAGGAUUGUAAAGCUCUUUCGCCCGUGACGAUGAUGACGGUAACGGGAGAAGAAGCCCCGGCUAACUUCGUG